rnacentral:rRNA from 1 species
CCCUUAGAUGUUCUGGGCCGCACGCGUGCUACACUGAGUGGAUCAGCGGGUCAGGUUGCGCGAAAGUGUUUCCUAAUCUUGAAAUCCGCUCGUGAUGGGGAUUGACGGUUGCAAUUUUCCGUCAUGAACGAGGAAUUCCUAGUAAGCGCGAGUCAUCAGCUCGCGUUGAUUACGUCCCUGCCCUUUGUACACACCGCCCGUCGCUACUACCGAUUGAAUGGUUUAGUGAGGACUCCUGAUUGGCGCCGCCGCCCCGGCAACGGAGCAGCGGACUGCCGAAAAGUUGUUCAAACUUGAUCAUUUAGAGGAAGUAAAAGUCGUAACA